rnacentral:lncRNA from 1 species
UGCCUGGGGCAGGGGGCAGCAGUAUCUCCCAGGGUAUGUGGCUGCCCCGCUAGCGUGGCGGCAGUGGUUAUCAGGCCAGGGGUGGGAGCUAACUUUAGUGUGCCUGACUGAGCCAGAGUGGGCUGGCCUUGGGGCUGAGGGACGCUGGACAGGGCCGAGCAGCUGCCCAGACGUGUCAGGGGCCUGAGGAAGGCUUCUAUUAAUGCUGCUCCCUGGGUGUGUCACCGGGGAUGGCUUCUGCUCGGGUUUCAGGGCCCUCUUCCCCUCUGGAAGCCAGAAAUACCCUGGGGCGGGGCAAGGAGAGAAGGCUCUAGAUGGUGACUUGAGACCUCCAUGGAGUGGAGCUGGGAAGGGGCGCAAGGCAGCGGCCCGGGGAAGGCGACAGCCCACCAGGCAYUCUGCUGAGGCUUCUCAUGUCGUCACAGUUGAUCUUCCCACUAAUCCAUGGGGUGAGAACAACGAUCGCUCCCAUAUUUUAGAUAAGGACACCGGCUCARAGACAUGAAGUAACUUGUCCCAAUUCACACAGCCAGGAAAAGGUACAGCSAGUGU